rnacentral:rRNA from 1 species
AAUGAACGUUGGCGGCGUGGAUUAGGCAUGCAAGUCGGACGGGCCGCAAGGCCAGUGGCGCAAGGGUGAGUAAGGCGACGGUAACCAACCCCAGAGACGGGCAUAGCCGGGGGAAACCCCGGGUAAUUCCCGGCGACAUGGCGACCCGGCAUCGGGAUGCCAUCAAAGAUUCAUCGCUCUGGGACGGGCCGUCGUGGUAUUAGGUUGUUGGCGGGGUGACGGCCCACCAAGCCUGCGAUGCCUACCGGGCGUGCGAGCGUGGCCCGGCACACUGGGACUGAGACACUGCCCAGACUCCUACGGGAGGCUGCAGUCGAGAAUCUUCGGCAAUGGGCGCAAGCCUGACCGAGCGACGCCGCGUGGAGGACGAAGGCCUUCGGGUUGUAAACUCCUGUCGAGGGGGAGGAAGCUUCGGUUGACCGAACCCUGGAGGAAGCACGGGCUAAGUUCGUGCCAGCAGCCGCAGUAACAC